rnacentral:rRNA from 1 species
CCUACGGGUGGCAGCAGUGAGGAAUAUUGGUCAAUGGACGGAAGCCUGAACCAGCCAAGCCGCGUGAAGGAAGACGGCCCUAGGAGUUGUAACCUGCGUUUGUAGAAGGGUAAAUCUGAAUACGUGUAUUCAGCUGACAGUACUGUACCAAUAAGGAUCAGCUAACUCCAUGCCAGCAGCGGCGGUAAUACGGAGGAUCCAAGCGUUAGCCGGAUUUAUUGGGGUUAAAGGGUAGGUAGGCGGAUUAUUAAGUUUGAGUGGAAAUGUCCCGGGUUAACGCGGGAACUGCAUCCAAUACGGGUGCUCUAGAGUGUAGUUGCGGUAGGCGGAAUGCUUGGUGUAGCGGUGAAAUGCUUAGAGAUCAUGCAGAACACCGAUUGCGAAGGCAGCCUACCAAUCUAUAUCUGACGUUGAGGCACGAAAGCGUGGGGAGCAAACAGGAUUAGAUACCCUUGUAGUC